GCUUAGCCCUGAUUGAAGCAAUUGUUUGAGCUCUUUUGAGGCACGAAAAAAGCGAGUGCGUAAAGCAGGAAAUAGC
rnacentral:misc_RNA from 1 species